rnacentral:rRNA from 1 species
AUUGAACGCUGGCGGCAUGCCUUACACAUGCAAGUCGAACGGUAACGGGCCUUCGGGUGCCGACGAGUGGCGAACGGGUGAGUAAUGUAUCGGAACGUACCUUUCAGUGGGGGAUAACGUAGCGAAAGUUACGCUAAUACCGCAUAUUCUGUGAGCAGGAAAGCAGGGGAUCGCAAGACCUUGCGCUGAUUGAGCGGCCGAUGUCAGAUUAGCUAGUUGGUGAGGUAAAGGCUCACCAAGGCGACGAUCUGUAGCGGGUCUGAGAGGAUGAUCCGCCACACUGGAACUGAGACACGAUCCAGACUCCUACGGGAGGCAGCAGUGGGGAAUUUUGGACAAUGGGGGCAACCCUGAUCCAGCCAUGCCGCGUGAGUGAAGAAGGCCUUCGGGUUGUAAAGCUCUUUCGGCCGGGAAGAAAUCGCACGGGCUAAUACCCUGUGUGGAUGACGGUACCGGAAUAAGAAGCACCGGCUAACUACGUGCCAGCCGCCGCCGUAA